UUUUAUGAGAGUUUGAUCCUGGCUCAGGACGAACGCUGGCGGCGUGCCUAAUACAUGCAAGUCGAACGCUUCUUUUUCCACCGGAGCUUGCUCCACCGGGAAAAGAAGAGUGGCGAACGGGUGAGUAACACGUGGGUAACCUGCCCAUCAGAAGGGGAUAACACUUGGAAACAGGUGCUAAUACCGUAUAACAAUCAAAACCGCAUGGUUUUGAUUUGAAAGGCGC
rnacentral:rRNA from 1 species